rnacentral:rRNA from 1 species
UACGUAGGGGGCAAGCGUUGUCCGGAUUUAUUGGGCGUAAAGAGCGUGUAGGCGGUUAGGUAGGUCCGUUGUGAAAACUCGAGGCUCAACCUCGAGACGCCGAUGGAAACCAUCUAACUAGAGUCCGGAAGAGGAGAAUGGAAUUCCUGGUGUAGCGGUGGAAUGCGCAGAUAUCAGGAGGAACACCGGUGGCGAAGGCGGGUCUCUGGGCAGUAACUGACGCUGAGGAGCGAAAGCGUGGGGAGCGAACAGG